UAGCAUAUUCAUUUGACGUUAGCUGCAGAAGAAGCACCGGCUAACUCCGUGCCAGCAGCCGCGGUAAUACGGAGGGUGCGAGCGUUAAUCGGAAUUACUGGGCGUAAAGCGCAUGCAGGUGGUUUGUUAAGUCAGAUGUGAAAGCCCGGGGCUCAACCUCGGAAUUGCAUUUGAAAACUGGCAAACUAGAGUACUGUAGAGGGGGUAGAAUUUCAGGUGUAGCGGUGAAAUGCGUAGAGAUCUGAAGGAAUACCGGUGGCGAAGGCGGCCCCCUGGACAGAUACUGACACUCAGAUGCGAAAGCGUGGGGAGCAAACAGGAUUAGAUACCCUGGUAG
rnacentral:rRNA from 1 species